UACGGAGGGAGCUAGCGUUGUUCGGAAUUACUGGGCGUAAAGCGCACGUAGGCGGCUUUGUAAGUUAUGGGUGAAAGCCUGGAGCUCAACUUCAGAAUUGCCCUUAAGACUGCAUCGCUUGAAUCCAGGAGAGGUGAGUGGAAUUCCGAGUGUAGAGGUGAAAUUCGUAGAUAUUCGGAAGAACACCAGUGGCGAAGGCGGCUCACUGGACUGGUAUUGACGCUGAGGUGCGAAAGCGUGGGGAGCAAACAGG
rnacentral:rRNA from 1 species